AUCUAUGGCCAUACCACCCUGAAUGCACCCUAUCUCAUCUGAAGUCAGAAGCUAAGCAGGGUUGGGCCUGGUUAGUACUUGGAUGGGAGAAUAUACAUUCUUUCUGGCUGUACACGGGUCAUUCUCC
rfam:Fukomys damarensis contig128202, whole genome shotgun sequence.